rnacentral:rRNA from 1 species
CGGGUGAGUAACGCGUGAGGAACCUGCUUCAAAGAGGGGGACAACAGUUGGAAACGACUGCUAAUACCGCAUAAGCCCACGGCUCGGCAUCGAGCAGAGGGAAAAGGAGUGAUCCGCUUUGAGAUGGCCUCGCGUCCGAUUAGCUAGUUGGUGAGGUAACGGCCCACCAAGGCGACGAUCGGUAGCCGGACUGAGAGGUUGAACGGCCACAUUGGGACUGAGACACGGCCCAG